UACGGAGGGUGCAAGCGUUGUCCGGAAUCACUGGGCGUAAAGGGCGCGUAGGCGGCUCGGUAAGUAGGGGGUGAAAUCCUGCGGCUUAACCGCAGGGCUGCCUUCUAAACUGUCGAGCUUGAGCACGGUAGAGGCAGAUGGAAUUCCCGGUGUAGCGGUGGAAUGCGUAGAUAUUGGGAGGAACACCAGUGGCGAAGGCGGCUCACUGGACCGGAACUGACGCUGAGGCGCGAAAGCGUGGGGAGCAAACAGG
rnacentral:rRNA from 1 species